CGCGAUUCAGCAGCAGCGCGAUUUGAGCGGCGCAGCCAGUUGAAAUAUUUAAAGUUUUGCGUAGUUGCUUCAAAGUAUCAACCAAUCAGGGACUUCGCUUUGGGCACGUGGUGUUUUCAGUGACAGCGGGCCGAUUAGAACACACAUCCAAUAUGGUGGAUCGAUCCGGUAGUUCUCCUCCUGAACUUCCAUCCAUUUUUUUAACCCGCUGUUUCCCUUUCGUUUUUCCGGAGCCCGUCCCUGGCUACUGUUGUACGGGACGGUUUUUAAAUACUUUUUUUUGCAAAUAUUAUUAAACGCAAUACAUCAUGGUCUAGAUUCGCCAAUCUAGUGAGCAUCAAUGCUCACUGGUUUUUUGCAGAGACAUCUGGGAAAUUACUUGGGCACUCAAUCUUGGAAUUGUAGAUUCAGAACGCACUACAAAAUGGCAAACGCGCUAUAUUGUACACUGUGUAGUGAGUAGUGAAGGAAUUCAGACACAGCCUAAGUGUCUGGUUUUCAGUUCUUCCUUUUCAGGUCAUCAGUUUUGUUUCUCUAUAGUUUAAUUUCACGUUCGAAUUUGUUCAUUAAAUGUUUGUUUCAGCCAAGUCUCCCGCAUUUUGGGUCCUUCACGACUAGGACCUAAAACGGGAGAGACACGGGGCCUGAUCGCUCCGGUUUCGGAUGAGCCAAGAGAGCAGAACGAACUACUCAACACGGGGGGACAGGACAAACCGGGAGCCCGAGGUUUAUUUUGAAAGUACCUGUUUCCAGUUCUUCCGUUUUUUGCUGCGACAUCUGAGUGGAAAUAGAACUCUUGCGUAAAGCUUGCCUUGCGGAGGGACGGACGUGAGACGCAGACAUGACGAAGGCGAUGGGACGAUCCGAUUGGUGGAUGGACGUUCUAACAAAGACACACCGCAGACGGACCGGUGGAAAUUUGGGGGGAAGAGCUGUAAUAAGGUUUCUGUGGGUGAAUCUGCUGAAAAAUCAAACUUAUUCCAGCCUAAACUUUGUCUUUGAAAUUGUAAUCAACAAACCCGACAACUUUUUUUUCUUUCUUUUUUUUUGUGAAAAUGCUUCCUGAUUACAGAUGCCAAUCAUCGCCAAAUGAGGCGUAUUUUGGAUGCAGGCAAUUACCCCUCCAGCUGAUGCUUUUCUUUGCUUUUGGGAGGCCGUCCUUCUUAAAAUACACUCAAAGAACCCCAUGCAGUUCAAACACGCCGUAUGGAUCUGUGAUGACGUGUCACACGCGUGUCGCUGCCCCGUCAGCUCUAGAAUUAAAAGCAUUAAUUCAAUCAAAGCGGCAGACGUGAGCGGUGGAGACGAGUCGAAACCCCUUAAUUGAAAAUUGCCAAUAAUUGCUGCCAUGUAGUGCAGUAACAGCAGCAGAUGAGGCAUCAAUACAUAUUUUUUAUUUUUUUUUGGGUUCAAACAGGACCAUAAAAAGGUCCACUAAUGGAAGAAGCGCACAGAGCUGUGGAACGAUAAGACAUUAAAGAGAAAAUGGAUUUUCAAAUGAAUUUUUGCUUAAAAAAAAGAAAAAAAAUCCCAAUCCUUUCAGCAUGAUAUGAUCUAGAAAAUCCGACCCCAUCUCCAGAGGAAGCCUUUUUUAAAGAACCUUACCAGAAAAGUGUCAUGUUUUACCUGAAACGCCAAAGACAAAAGCAACACGGUGGGCUUUGGGGUAUUACCAUCUCUCCCCCUCCAGAGACAUUUGGCACAGCUAAAAACAACUGCUGUGUAUGUUUACCUGAAAAUCUUCCAAAAAUAAAAGCAGUCAGAUGGAUUAUUUGGGGAUCCGUAAUUAGCGUCUAUGUAAAAGCAGCAACAAUUUUAUUUGUCAGGGCUGGAAAGAAAUUCAGUCCUCAAAGGGGUUAAAAACUACAUCUCCUUCCUUCCUUCUCUUUCUGCUUCGCCUUGGCGGACGUGUACUUCUGGAAUCCUGCAGCCCUAUGAGGUCGCAUUGCUAAUGCGAGCGCAGUAUCCAUCUCAUGCAUUGGAGGGCUCUUGAGAGGAAGACAAACUGGCAAAAAAAACAGGUUUAAGAGAGAAUGAAACGGAGAGAUGGGGUUGGAGGAAUGCUUUGAGGAGCCACGGUUGCUUAGAUACCGUCGUCAAGGAGACAGCGAGUCCUUUGGCAUCUCAGAUGUCCUAUAUUUACAUUUUACGUUGAUUUUCACAAGAGAAAGGAUCCUUUUCUUUUUCACAUUCCUCCCCUUUUGUGAGUGUAAAACGCCUGACAACCAAUCAGCUCGUUCUUUGAAAUAAUAUUCAGUCCGUCUGUCAGAAUAGAAGAUGGUUUUUCUCUCACUCAAACAGAAACAACUAGAAAGUUUCCUGCAGCUUCCAGGUGAACAUUUGGGACGACAUUCCAAACUCUACAAGACCUCCAAAGCCUUUUGUACGGUGGAGUUUCAGGCAAAAGCAGAAGAAUCCUGUUAACAUCCGGCACCUCCAGCCUCCUGAGGAUCUUGCCCCGGCCUUUGUCGCUGGACG